rnacentral:rRNA from 1 species
GAGUUUGAUCGUGGCUCAGGAUGAACGCUGGCGGCGUGCUUAACACAUGCAAGUCGAGCGAAGCGCUUUACUUUGAUUUCUUCGGAUUGAAAAGUGCUGCGACUGAGCGGCGGACGGGUGAGUAACGCGUGGGCAACCUGCCUCAUACAGGGGGAUAACAGUUAGAAAUGACUGCUAAUACCGCAUAAGACCACAGUACCGCAUGGUAUGGUGGUAAAAACUCCGGUGGUAUGAGAUGGGCCCCGCGUCUGAUUAGGUAGUUGGUGGGUAACGGCCUACCAAGCCGACGAUCAGUAGCCGACCUGAGAGGGUGACCGGCCACAUUGGGACUGAGACACGGCCCAAACUCCUACGGGAGGCAGCAGUGGGGAAUAUUGCACAAUGGGGGAAACCCUGAUGCAGCGACGCCGCGUGAAGGAUGAAGUAUUUCGGUAUGUAAACUUCUAUCAGCAGGGAA